CUCGGGUCGGGACGCGGCCGUAGUCGUGGGUAGGCGAACGGCGACAACACCGGGGGGGAUUAGGACCGGUGNGCAGUGGGACGGCAGACUAGAGUGCAGUAGGGGANACUGGAAUUCCUGGUGUAGCGGUGAAAUGCGCAGAUAUCAGGAGAACACCGAUGGCGAAGGCAGGUCUCUGGGGCUGUUACNGACGCUGAGGAGCGAAAGCAUGGGGGANCGAAACNGGGAUUAGAUACCCUGGGUAUCCAUGGCCCGUAAACGUUGGGCAAUUAGGGGUNUGGGGGGGACCAGUUUCCCCAGGUUUUUUUCCCGCGGUCCCGUUAAGCCCUUUAAAACGGCCUAAAUUUUAACGGCGGCCCCCCCCGGUCUUUGGGGGGGGGGGUUCCCAACCGGGGUCGGGGGUCCCCCCCUU
rnacentral:rRNA from 1 species